rnacentral:pre_miRNA from 1 species
AAAAAGUCAAACCCUGAGUUUCCGUGUCCAACUUUAACGGUCCGUCUUAUAUGGAAUUUUUUUAUAAUUCGUAUUUUCAUUAUUGUUAGAUGAUAAAACAUGAUUAAUAUUUUAUGCGUGACUUGUCUUUUUAAUUUUUUUCAUAAUUUUUUUAAAUAAAACGGACGGUCAAAUGUUGGGCACGGAAACCAGGGUU